CAAGUGGUUAAACUUGGACGGUAGAAUGCGUGUUUUUUUUAAAUUUUUUUUUUUAAUAUGACCGUAUGGGUCCUAUUAUUGAAUUAUAAAAACAACUACAACAUCCUAAACAACUAACAGUGAAGAAGAAACAAAAAUACUUGAAAUAUCUGGAAGUCUGAAAUGUUCUCUCAUUCUGCAAGUGAUUUGCAAGGAUGUGCUCCUUCUGUAUGUCGAUUAGCAUUUGGAAGAAUGAGACAACGAAUUGUUAGUAAUAAACUUCAGUCGUCUUCUUCGCUAUCGGUGUUGUUGUAGGACAUCAGCCUAGUUCCAAAUCACAUCGAUUGGGAAAGCCGCUAGCUUCUGCUAAUCUGUUGAGAAAAUGAAUACACAAUCUCGAAUGUCAGCAAAUUUCGUCAAGAUUUAAACAAAGGAAGAAAUUUAUGAGGUAAUACAAUUUAGGAACUUCUCUAUUUUAAUUAUAUUAUUAUUAGUCUGGAAAUCAUGAAUUUUAUUAGACCAUGGUUUUGAUGACUUCAUAUGUUGGAUUGUUAUAGUGUAUUGUUUUAAUAUCUUUAAUGUGAUACUGGGAUUUGUUGGAUUGCUCUUUUAA